GCGCCCGUAGCUCAGAAGGAUAGAGCGGCGGUUUCCUAAACCGCAGGUCACAGGUUCGAAUCCUGUCGGGCGUA
rnacentral:tRNA from 1 species